UCGGCUUAGAGUUUGAUCAUGGCUCAGGACGAACGCUGGCGGCGUGCCUAAUACAUGCAAGUCGAACGCUGGAGCUUGCUCCAGGAGUGGCGAACGGGUGAGUAACACGUGGGUAACCUACCCUCCAGCGGGGGAUAACACUUGGAAACAGGUGCUAAUACCGCAUAACAGAGAACCGCCUGGUUUCUUUGAAAGGCGAUUGCGUCACUGGAGGAUGGACCCGCGGUGCAUUAGCUAGUUGGUGAGGUAACGGCUCACCAAGGCAACGAUGCAUAGCCGACCUGAGAGGGUGAUCGGCCACAUUGGGACUGAGACACGGCCCAAACUCCUACGGGAGGCAGCAGUAGGGAAUCUUCGGCAAUGGACGAAAGUCUGACCGAGCAACGCCGCGUGAGUGAAGAAGGUUUUCGGAUCGUAAAACUCUGUUGUCAGAGAAGAACAAGGAUAAGGAAAUUUAUCCCUUGACGGUAUCUGACCAGAAAGCCACGGCUAACUACGUGCCAGCAGCCGCGGUAAUACGUAUGUGGCAAGCGUUGUCCGGAUUUAUUGGGCGUAAAGCGAGCGCAGCGGUCUCUUAAGUCUGAUGUGAAAGCCCCCGGCUCAACCGGGGAGGGUCAUUGGAAACUGGGAGACUUGAGUGCAGAAGAGGAGAGUGGAAUUCCAUGUGUAGCGGUGAAAUGCGUAGAUAUAUGGAGGACACCAGUGGCGAAGGCGGCUCUCUGGUCUGUAACUGACG
rnacentral:rRNA from 1 species